rnacentral:lncRNA from 1 species
UUUACUCUGCUGAGAUUUUUAUUCUCAAAUGUUUUAAUAUAUAUUCAAAACAAAAUCUAACAUUUAUUUAAAUAAAAUAUUGUAUAUUUUAAAACAAGUAAUAUAUAUAUAAUGUUUUAAAAUAUUUGGACAGAAAUAUAAUAUUUCUUCCAAUUGUGUUUUUCUUACACUCUUACGUUCGUGGUUUCAGACUCCCUAAAACACAUCGAUAAAGAUACAACUUUUUGUCUCAAUAAAAAAAAGUCAAUGAACUAAUUAAGUCAUAUAGUUCUUCUAUCAAAU